rnacentral:lncRNA from 1 species
AUUUUUCUCUUUCCCCGAUUUUCUUCUUCUCUCGUUCGUGUUCUUUGGCGAUUCAGGGCGAUUCCGUCGUCACCGCCUGUUCCGUCGAUUAUUCCCGGUGGAGGUGUAAUCCGAACAUCGAUCUUCCGUCCCCAUAGUCCUGGUAAGCUUCGGUUCCUUGUAGUUUUAUGUUUUGAUUUCGAUUUCGCGAUUCUAGGGUUUGCGAUUUUUGGGGAAAAAAAAUCGGGUUGAAAUCGGGUUUUUUUUGUUUGAUUUCGGUGGAUUAGAGGUUCGACGGUUGUCUUUGGUACCCCAAAUCUAGUAUUCGGUACGAAUUUAGUAGAUUUGCAAACCCUAAAUUCAUUUGAAAUAAGGGUUUUCGAAAUUUGUUUCAAAUUUUGGGGCUUUCAUCUGGGAUUGAAAUUGGCGUCUAAUUCGUUCAAUUAAAACCGUAAUAUCCUUAUUUUGAAUACGAUUUCAUGGUUUUAAGAUUGAAAAUCUAAAUAUUGUUGCGAUGAACUAAGUUUUUUCUAUCUCGGGGGUUUAUUUGGGGCUUUGUGUUGGUAUUCAAACUGGGUCACUCUCGAUACAUUAUCAAGAAUCGUGUGUAUCUUAAAAGUCAUUUGCUUCUUAUUUGUUGUUUGCUAUAUGGUAUUUUGCUAUAUGAUUGGCUUCUUAGUUGUUGUUUGCUAUAUGGUUAUAUGAACUGGUUAAUCGCUUAUGAGUUUUUGGUUGAAAUGGUUACUCAUUUGUUGUUUGCUAUAUAUUAGUAGAUGAUAUGAUCAUAUUGCAUAAGGUCAUAUCAUAUUGUAAUCGUGUGAGUUUAUAUAGUUUUGCUAAUCAUAUUGUUCUGUGGCAGAUCAUGCCAAGUUACAGCAGCGGUUCAUCUGAAGAAGGUUCAGAGCUUCCUUACUGGGCUUAUGCCGAUGCCACUUAUGGCAUACCGGCGAAGUGCUUCUGCGGCAGGGAAGUGAAGCUGAACACGAAGUCCGUGACAACCAGAUACAUGAACGAU